rnacentral:lncRNA from 1 species
GCUAUAGCGCACGUCCUCGGGGGCCGCAAAGAAGGGGCCGUAACUCAUGAUCCGGGCCUCCGAUUCCGUUUCCGUCGGGUCCCGCGGGACCAGGGAUCCGGGGGCAUCGGGAUGGGGGGGUAGCCGCGCUGCGGUUUGAACGCCGAAAAAUGGGCAUGUUCGGGGUGCGCUCAGUAGGUUUAGACGGUUUUGGGCGUAUCUCAUGAUCCGGGCAUCCGAUUCCGUUUCCGUCAGGUCCCACGGGACCAGGGGUCCGGGGGCAUCGGGAUGGGGGGGUAGCCGCGCGGCGGUUUGAACGACGAAAAACGGGCAUGAUCGGGGCGGUUUUGCCG